UACGGAGGAGGCAAGCGUUAUCCGGAAUUAUUGGGCGUAAAGCGUCCGCAGGUGGCACCUCAAGUCUGCUGUCAAAGACCGGGGCUUAACCCCAGAAAGGCAGUGGAAACUGAAGUGCUAGAGUGCAGUAGGGGUAGAGGGAAUUCCCGGUGUAGCGGUGAAAUGCGUAGAGAUCGGGAAGAACAUCGGUGGCGAAAGCGGCCUGCUGGGCAGUGGCUGACACUGAGGCGCGACAGCGUGGGGAGCAAACAGG
rnacentral:rRNA from 1 species